AAACUUUCAACAACGGAUCUCUUGGUUCUGGCAUCGAUGAAGAACGCAGCGAAAUGCGAUAAGUAAUGUGAAUUGCAGAUUUCAGUGAAUCAUCGAAUCUUUGAACGCACAUUGCGCCCUCUGGUAUUCCGGAGGGCAUGCCUGUUCGAGCGUCA
rnacentral:rRNA from 2 species